rnacentral:lncRNA from 10 species
AACAGUUGCCGGCUUGGAGUGUCAGAGGAAAGAGGGGCCAGGUGAAGAAACCUCACCAUCUUUCAUGAAAGGAAUACUUCCCGUCCACCCUCCAUCCUCCCCUCCUACAAAAGGUACAGAAUGUGCCCAGAAUCCCAACUGCUCAGCUGCCUCAUUCUGGAAGAGCCUUCCUCGCCAGGUCCCUGGAGGUUUGAUGAGAAGAACAGAUAGCCAUUUACUUGCUUCUCCAAAAACUCAGUGAUUUGGGUUUUGCAAAUAGAACUUGAUGUUUUGAGAUGACAUGAUCUACCCUUCAGGUUCCAAACUCCCCACCAUCCCCAUUUUCGGGAGACCUCGGUCAGGAGGCUUUGGGGCGGCCUUUUCAGGCUUCUCCAAAGGUGAGGUCUUCUCGGUGGCCUGGACCAGCCGGAUCACACUCCAGGCACAGCAGACACAUUCUGCAAUACAGGAGCUCCACGUCACUGGCCUCCCGAGCAAAGGAAACGCCACUUCCUGCAGCCAAGACUUUUCUUCCAGGCACACAGAUCAACAUAUUGGCAUUCGAGUUUAUGUACUGUCUCCAUUGACUAAGAUGGUCAUGUCCUCUUGUCAUUGAAUCUUGCUUUAUGAGAAUCUCAAAGAACUACAUGGCACAUCCCAGGGUUCGGACUAGCCCAAGGCCAGUGAGGUCCCCAGGACACGCGAUCUGAGGGGGCAUUCACUAUCAAGGUCCAGCAAAUGCAAGGUGGGCUCCUGAGAGUGAGCCCCACUCUACAUUUGGCCCCCUGGUGCCUCUCUUCCCGCAACCCAGCCCCAGCCCUUGCGUGCCCGUUCUGCCUGUGGAUCCCUGCAGCCAGGUGCGCAUUUAGAUGGUUCCCAACUUUCCCCCAUUACAAACACUGCAAUAAGAACCCUUGCAAGUGGCACGUCUCUGAAAACGACUCUGCUAUCAACUCUGCUCAGGGCUUUUUAAAUAC